UCUAUUACCUGGCAGAGGAGAUACCAUGAUCACAAAGGUAGUUUUCCCAGAGCGAGGUUAUCUAUUGCAUUCCGGAUGUGCUGACCCCUGCGAUUUCCCCAAUGUUUGUGGUAGUGGGGGACUGCAUUCACGCUUUCCCCUG
ensembl:snRNA U1 U1 spliceosomal RNA